UACGUAGGUGGCGAGCGUUGUCCGGAUUUACUGGGCGUAAAGCGCGCGUAGGCGGCCUCACAAGUCCGCUGUGAAAGUCAAAGGCUCAACCUUUGAAAAGCCAGUGGAAACUGUGAGGCUAGAGUCCGGAAGAGGCGAGUGGAAUUCCUGGUGUAGCGGUGGAAUGCGCAGAUAUCAGGAGGAACACCAACGGCGAAGGCAGCUCGCUGGGACGGUACUGACGCUAAGGCGCGAAAGCGUGGGGAGCAAACAGG
rnacentral:rRNA from 1 species